UGGUGACUAUAGCAAGGAGGUCACACCUGUUCCCAUGCCGAACACAGAAGUUAAGCUCCUUAGCGUCGAUGGUAGUCGAACUUACGAAACGUCAAAAUA
rnacentral:rRNA from 1 species